ACACUGUUCUUCUAGACCUCCAGUCAAGACAUAAUUAAACAGAAAAUAUUGACAUUGUCAGUGUGUUUAUUGUUAUAUCCUGUGAAAUAUACCUCUACCUUGUAAAUAUGGAAAAGUGAAUCAAGUUACAUGAAUUUAGAAAUGCAAGGAUAUUAUUGUAACAUUAUCCACUCUAAGCUGUUUUACUUAAGCAAAUUCAGUUUUUUAAAGAAGGCAUUUACUGUUCUUCUGUUAUGUGUUGGCUUUCUUUGCACAAAGUGAACAUAAAAAUUAAUGUGUACACCUCAUUGACAAACGACUGAUGAGGCCAUAUGGAACAAGAAGAGUGUUGCUACAAGGACUGAUAUUUUUCUGUCGUGGAAAAAAAAAGAACCACUUUAUUUGAUUGGUCUGAACUCUUGUAAUAGCCAACUAAAAGACAUUGUGCCAUACAAUCAUUGCAUUUCAACAUCAAAGUGGAUACGUUUUCAAGUUUGAAUUUAAAAGACAAAAAAAUGUCACGCGGGUUUUCUAGCUU